rnacentral:tRNA from 1 species
UCCGAGAUGGUGCAAUCGGCAGCACGCCCGAUUCUGGAUCGGGAGGUUCGAGGUUCGAGUCCUCGUCUCGGAGC